rnacentral:lncRNA from 1 species
GAUCGUAAGGAUAGGGAUAGGAAUAGGGAUCAGAUUCGUGAGCGAGAACGAGAUAAUUUUGAAAUUCUUACUCAAUGGAAUGCCCUUAAACAAGGAAAUCAAUUAGUGACUGAGUAUAUCGCGCAAUUUGAGGAAUUUCGAACCAAAUGUCAUUUAAUUGAGGAUGAGAGCACGACUUUGAGUAGGUUUAGCCAAGGUCUGAGAAAUGAUCUUAAGCGCGAGCUGUUCCUUCGAGGUGUCACUACUCUUGAUCACGCUUACUCUUUAGCUCGAGAUUAUGAGUUGAUUAUUAGUACUCCAUAUGAAAAGCGUGGUCAUCGUCGCUCACCCAUCUCAUUAGCGUCGCCUCAUCAUAAGUCUAUCAUAAAACCGUCUCCGUCUAAUGUUCC